ACCUGUCUAGCUCAGUCGGUAGAGCAUGAGACUCUCAAUCUCAGGGUUGUGGGUUCGAGCCCCAUGUUGGGUG